ensembl:lncRNA
AGGAAUUUUGUCUUACCACUGUCACCAUGUGUGUGUGUGUGUGUGUGUGUGUACUGUUACAAGUGUUAUACAAAUAAAAUGAAAUUGAAUAGCCUGAUUUGCAUUUUAGACAUUUUUAUUUUGGUUUAUUUUUAAGUAGCCACAAAUCCCUUCGCGACCAUAUAUAGUCGUAGUUAUAACUGAUCGUUGCAGUGUCGUGAAUUCCCUCUCUCAGCGCACGUCAUGUCGCUCAGUGCAAAUAGUGCUACUUCUGUGCUUUGUAUUUACUUCCUGCCAUGUUUUUGUUUAUAUAUCGCCACGUGUGCUGUUUGGAUUUCAGUUUUUUUUUCUCCACAAGAAGGCAACACAGACAUGAGGGCGCCCUGGGACAUAAGGCGGCCAUCCACUCCACCAUCAACAAACCUGGGUGAACGCAUGAAAGGUCAUGGGAGCCUGGAGCCUAUCCCAGGGAACUCGGGCUCAAGAUGGGGGACACCCUGGACCAGCUGCCAACCCAUCGCAGGGCACACACUCACACACCCAUUCAUACAAUGUGGACUAUUUGGAAACGUCAAUCAGAAUACAACAUGUCUUCGGACUGGGGGAGGAUCCCGGAGCACCUGGAGGAAACCCGGAAAGCAUGCAAACUCCACACACACAGGGUGGAGGAGGGAUUUGAACCCCAACCCCAGAGGUGCGAGUGAUGGCAUAUUAAGGGAAAGUUGUAGCUCAGCUCUUGAGUUUAUGUGCUAGUGCCUAGAGGAUUGUGAACUGAAAGCCAACCAGAGAGAGACAGUUAAACCUUGGAGUAAAACUGUUAAAGAAAUACUUCAGAAUAGUUCAAAAACUUCAUUUAAAACACAAAAUUUGCCUAAAAGCUAUGAUGAGCCAAGACAUGUUUGGUGCUUUAUAGUUUUGUGCUGGAACUAUGAGGCCAAUGUAGCUAAUGAGUAAGAGGAAGCUUCUAGCUUCUAGCUUAUAUAACGCCUAGAUGUUAGAAUAAACGUUCCCUCUGAAUAGCCGAGUCACUCGCUGUCUUCAAACAUAGACUGAAUGAUCCACCUCUUCAACAAUUACUCAAACUUGCACCUCAUCAUUUUCAAUUUCUGACUCGGAACAAACCAAAGAAAACUCAGAAAUCCUACACGGAAAGUCCAGAAGGUCUCCUCAGCGUCAAAUCAACAUGGCUGCUCACAACAUCAACAGUAAAGUCACCUUUAAAUGAGUUAUACUGUAUGUUUGUAUAUGCACGAUGUACUUGCAUAUAA